rnacentral:rRNA from 1 species
AUACGUAGGAAGCGAGCGUUAUCCGGAAUUACUGGGCGUAAAGCGCGCGUAGGUGGUCUUUCAAAUCGAAUGUGAAAUUUCCCGGCUUAACCGGGCAGGGUCGUUCGAUACUGUUGGACUAGAGAGCGGCAGGGGGAAGCGGAAUUCCCGGUGUAGGAGGGAAAUGCGUAGAUAUCGGGAGGAACACCAGUGGCGAAGGCGGCUUCCUGGGCUGUUUCUGACACUGAGGCGCGAAAGUGUGGGGAGCGAACAGAAUUAGAUACUCUGGUAGUCCACACUGUAAACGAUGGGUACUAGGUAUAGGGAGUAUCGACCCUCUUUGUGCCGAAGCUAACGCUUUAAGUACCCCGCCUGGGGACUACGGCCGCAAGGCUAAAACUCAAAGGAAUUGACGGGG